rnacentral:rRNA from 1 species
UGGGGAAUAUUGCACAAUGGGCGCAAGCCUGAUGCAGCCAUGCCGCGUGUGUGAAGAAGGCCUUCGGGUUGUAAAGCACUUUCAGCGAGGAGGAAGGUGGUGAGCUUAAUACGCUCAUCAAUUGACGUUACUCGCAGAAGAAGCACCGGCUAACUCCGUGCCAGCAGCCGCGGUAAUACGGAGGGUGCAAGCGUUAAUCGGAAUUACUGGGCGUAAAGCGCACGCAGGCGGUUUGUUAAGUCAGAUGUGAAAUCCCCGGGCUCAACCUGGGAACUGCAUUUGAAACUGGCAAGCUAGAGUCUCGUAGAGGGGGGUAGAAUUCCAGGUGUAGCGGUGAAAUGCGUAGAGAUCUGGAGGAAUACCGGUGGCGAAGGCGGCCCCCUGGACGAAGACUGACGCUCAGGUGCGAAAGCGUGGGGAGCAAACAGGAUUAGAUACCCCUGGUAGUCCACGCUGUAAAACGAUGUCGAUUUUGGAGGUUGUGCCCUUGAGGCGUGGCUUCCGGAGCUAACGCGUUAAAUCGACCGCCUGGGGGGUACGGCCGCAA